ACCUGCCGAAUGAAUUAGCCCUGAAAAUGGAUGGCGCUUAAGCGGGCGGCCGACACCACGCCGUGUGACCGAGGAAUGAUGUCACAUGAGUAGGAGGGCGUGGCGGGCGUGGAGAAGCAUGGGCGCAAGCCUUUGUCGAACGGUCCGCUAGUGCAGAUCUUGGUGGUAGUAGCAAGUAUUCAAGCGAGAACCUUGAAGGGCGAAGCGGGGAAGGGUUCCACGCGAACAUUGAUUGGGCGUGGGUGAGUCGUUCCUAAGCCGAGUGGCAAUUGCUAAGUAGCGGCGAAAGGGAAGCGGGUUUAAAUUCCCGCACACGGAUGUGGAGAGCGGUGACGCGAAAUGGGGCGAACACGCUGGCGAUGGCGCUGGGCAGAGUUGUCUUUUCUGUUUGACUGAGUGUGUUGGCUGUGUGGAAUCCGCUUGUCGGGAGAAACACGCUGGCAUGGGCAGAGCGCCGGGGCUUAUCCGGCGUCCAGCUCGCCAUCGACGGCCCUUGAAACUUUGCCUGCUGAACAUUUGAUCCACGCCGUGGCGUACCGAUAACCGCAUCAGGUCCCCGAGGUGAACAGCCUCUGCUCGAUAUGAACAAUGCAGGUAAGGGAAGUCGGCAAAUUGGACCCGUAACUUUGGGAAAAGGGUUGGCUCUAGUGCUGCGUAGGAGUGGUUGUCUGUGUGUGGGGAUGCGGGCUGAGCUGGCUUGGCGCGGACGACUUCGCAAGAGGGAGUCUGUUCUGGGCUGUUCGGGCUGUGUCUGCGCCGCGGACGACGCCUACGGCAUGCAGCAGACUAGAACUGCAACGGGCAAAGGGAAUCCGACUGUUUAAUUAAAACAAAGCAUUGAGAAGG
rnacentral:rRNA from 1 species